AAUAAAUCAAUUUUCACUUUUUAUCUUUAAUUUUUAACUCUUCGUCUUAUUAAAAAAAAUUUGUGAUUGAUAUUUUUGUUUUUAUUAGAUAAUAAAUAAUGAAUAGUAUUUUACGUGUGACUAAUUUUUUUUAAUUUCUUAAAAAAAUUCAAAUAAGACAGAUGGUCAAACGUUGGACACGAAAACC
rnacentral:pre_miRNA from 1 species